GUGAGGAAUAUUGGACAAUGGAUGGAAAUCUGAUCCAGCCAUGCCGCGUGCAGGAAGACGGCCCUAUGGGUUGUAAACUGCUUUUAUACGGGAGCAAUAAGGUCUAUGCAUAGAUUGAUGAGAGUACCGUAUGAAUAAGCAUCGGCUAACUCCGUGCCAGCAGCCGCGGUAAUACGGAGGAUGCGAGCGUUAUCCGGAUUUAUUGGGUUCAAAGGGUGCGUAGGCGGCUUUGUAAGUCAGCGGUGAAAUUUUGCAGCUUAACUGUAAGAGCGCCGUUGAUACUGUGAAGCUAGGAUUUGGUUGCUGUGGGCGGAAUGUGUGGUGUAGCGGUGAAAUGCAUAGAGAUCACACAGAAUAUCGAUUGCGAAGGCAGCUCACAAAGCCAAUAUUGACGCUGAGGCACGAAAGUGUGGGGAUCAAACAGGAUUAGAUACCCUGGUAGUCC
rnacentral:rRNA from 1 species